CAAUAGCGUAUAUUUAAGUUGUUGCAGUUAAAAAGCUCGUAGUUGGAUUUCGGUUAAGAGCGACCGGUCCGCCGUUUGGUGUGCACUGGUUGGUUUUAACUUCCUGUAGAGGACGUGCUCUGGGUUUAACGACCUGGACUCGGAGUCUACGUGGUUACUUUGAAAAAAUUAGAGUGUUCAAAGCGGGCUUACGCUUGAAUAUUUCAGCAUGGAAUAACACUAUAGGACUCCUGUCCUAUUUCGUUGGUCUCGGGACGGGAGUAAUGAUUAAGAGGAACAGUUGGGGGCAUUCGUAUUUCAUUGUCAGAGGUGAAAUUCUUGGAUUUAUGAAAGACGAACCUCUGCGAAAGCAUUUGCCAAGGAUGUUUUCAUUAA
rnacentral:rRNA from 1 species